rnacentral:rRNA from 1 species
GACAGAGGAUGCAAGCGUUAUCCGGAAUGAUUGGGCGUAAAGCGUCUGUAGGUGGCUUUUUAAGUCCGCCGUCAAAUCCCAGGGCUCAACCCUGGACAGGCGGUGGAAACUACCAAGCUGGAGUACGGUAGGGGCAGAGGGAAUUUCCGGUGGAGCGGUGAAAUGCGCAGAUAUCGGGAAGAACACCCGUGGCGAAGGCGGCUCUCUGGGACGGUACUGACACUGAGAGACGAAAGCUAGGGGAGCGAAUGGG